ACGUAGGGGCCGAGCGUUGUCCGGAUUUAUUGGGCGUAAAGCGCAUGUAGGCGGCCAUGUAAGUCGAUUGUGAAAUCCCGAGGCUCAACUUCGGAACUGCAGUCGAUACUGCAUGGCUUGAGGAAGGUAGAGGAGAGUGGAAUUCCCGGUGUAGCGGUGGAAUGCGCAGAUAUCGGGAGGAACACCAAUGGCGAAGGCAGCUCUCUGGGCCUCUCCUGACGCUGAGAUGCGAAAGCGUGGGUAGCGAACAGG
rnacentral:rRNA from 1 species